rnacentral:rRNA from 1 species
UACGUAGGGUCCGAGCGUUGUCCGGAAUUACUGGGCGUAAAGAGCUCGUAGGUGGUUUGUCGCGUUGUUCGUGAAAACUCACAGCUUAACUGUGGGCGUGCGGGCGAUACGGGCAGACUUGAGUACUGCAGGGGAGACUGGAAUUCCUGGUGUAGCGGUGGAAUGCGCAGAUAUCAGGAGGAACACCGGUGGCGAAGGCGGGUCUCUGGGCAGUAACUGACACUGAGGCACGAAAGCUAGGGGAGCAAACAGG